CAGUCGCCACGGUAAUACGUAGGGUGCAAGCGUUAAUCGGAAUUACUGGGCGUAAAGCGUGCGCAGGCGGUUAUAUAAGACAGAUGUGAAAUCCCCGGGCUCAACCUGGGAACUGCAUUUGUGACUGUAUAGCUAGAGUACGGCAGAGGGGGAUGGAAUUCCGCGUGUAGCAGUGAAAUGCGUAGAUAUGCGGAGGAACACCGAUGGCGAAGGCAAUCCCCUGGGCCUGUACUGACGCUCAUGCACGAAAGCGUGGGGAGCAAACAGGAUUAGAUACCUUAGUAGUCCCUGUCUCUUAUAA
rnacentral:rRNA from 1 species